CCUACGGUGGCUGCAGUAGGGAAUAUUGCUCAAUGGGGGAAACCCUGAAGCAGCAACGCCGCGUGGAGGAUGAAGGUUUUCGUAUUGUAAACUCCUUUUGUUAGAGAAGAUAAUGCCGGUCUCUAACGAAUAAGCACCUGCUAACUCCGUGCCAGCAGCCGCGGUAAUACGGAGGGUGCAAGCGUUGUCCGGAAUCAUUGGGCGUAAAGAGUUCGUAGGUGUCAUAUUAAGUCUGGUGUUAAAUGCAGAAGCUCAACUUCUGUUCGGCACUGGAGACUGGUAAGCUUGAAUGCGGUAGAGGUAAAGGGAAUUCCUGGGGUAGCGGUGAAAUGCGUAGAUAUCAGGAGGAACAUCGGUGGCGUAAGCGCUUUACUGGGCCGUAAUUGACACUGAGGAACGAAAGCCGGGGUAGCAAAUGGGAUUAGAUACCCUGGUAGUC
rnacentral:rRNA from 1 species